CGAAGCAAAACAAAGAAAUUAGAAUGGGGGAAACAAAAAAAACAUCACCAACAGAAGGCAUAGUCAAUCGAAGAUGAAAAAAACUGAAUACUCUAUUGGAAAAGAAAAGCAAGACAAAAGCAACAUUAAGCGCUUUUUUUUGAACAAUUUCAAAAAAAUGGUUGAUAAUGCUAUGAAAACCGAAACAACAUUUAUCCGUACUGAUGUGGUAUUUGAAGCAGGUUCAUGAAGAUGGAAAAAAUGGAAAGUAUUAAAAGAGGUAGCGAAUCACGAAGGGUAGAAAAGGUAAAAUAAAAUCGUCGUUGGGAGGUAAAGCUAUGCAAAACCAAAUAUGUUAGAUGUAAAAUAUAGUAAUUGAAUGAGGCAAGUUUCGAAUUUCAAAACAGAGACAAACAUGCAUUAAUCGCAAUGGAUCACAGAGACCCACAAACUCACACCCUUUUCUAGCCGUGUUAAACCCAGUGGUGUCUGCAGAGAUAUCGCGUACAUCACUCACAAUCAUACGCUAGAAAUGAUAGCAACACAGUGUGAUUUGAUUUUCUUUUCUUACUUUUCAAGUGAGACAGUUUUUUUUCAGGCGAGGACAUUUUCAACUCGCUUGCAUUAAUUGUAGUUUGAGUGCAAUUUAGACAGAUUUUUUCGUUUCGAUUUGAUUGUUUUUUGGUACGUUUUUCUCGUCUUUCCAUUUUUCCUCCUCGGUUGUCACAUCUUGUUAGCAAAACUGAAGACGAUGAUACCAAGAGAGUGACUCCACCAUCACUGGCCCCAUGGGAUGAUGGAUCACUCGGAUCAUUAAGAAACCAUGCAUUAAAAACUUCAUAUGAUUCCAUUACAACUGUGAUACGAACACUAUUUAGUAAGUCACAGGAAACAACGGAACAAUAAUUUGAAUGCGUUUAAUAGCACUGAGCGAAUCUAGUUGUUUCAUUCAUCACUUAUGCAUGCGGUCGCUCAAGGACAGCAAUCCUCGGCAAAAAGAGUCUGGGAUUGAUUUUCUCUUUGCUGCUUCUUGUUUUCCUAUUUAUUCUAAAUGUUUACUUUGAUUCUUCUUUUCUAACUUUAUGUUUUGGCCUCGGGACUAUCUGACUUUUUAUAAAUAAUAUUUUUAUAUUUUUUAUAAUUCUGAGUUUCAAAAUUUCAAACCAAAGUUCAUUGCAAAAUCAUUUCAGUUUAUUGUGUCAUCGUUUUGUCUUUCGUUUGUUUUGCUUUUUGUUUUAAUUUAUAGAAUUUUCUAACCCACCAACCAGAAGCUGCUAUCCGGCUUAAACCAAAUUCAUGAUGUGUAUUUAACCGGAAGUGAAAAUGAUAUCUUGGGCGAAGACAGGUGGUGUCACAAAAGCAAUAGAAAAAGAAACAUAAAAUAUCAUAAACAACAGAAUGGGGCGGUUCCAAUCAAAUAGAACCAGGCACGACACUACCCGAAUACCUUGUUUUUCUCAUAUAUUCUUUAAUCUGUGUUUUUCGUUCGUAACCUUUAGUUUGUAAGCACUUUGCUUGGAGUGUGCGAAUUGUUUUAUUUCUGUAAGGCCUACAUACUGCGGGUAUUGACAAUUUUGUGUUCUUCAAUAACUUCAAUCAAUUUCUGUUACAUAAUGUUCGGGCGUUCUAUACAAUGAAAGGCCGAACAUUCUUGAAUCGGAAAUAAUCUCAGAUUUCAGUUUGAUUUUGAAGCAAAAACUAUAAAUUGGCGUGUGAAGGGAGAAGAUCGAACUGUGCAAUAGUAAGUUCUUUUGUUUUCCUCUUGUAUGCACUAAUGCUAUUAAUCAUAAUUCUUUUAAUUGAAUAAUGUUGAUGAGACCGAGGUGUGUCUCUGCAUCUCUGCAUCAACCUAUUGGUCCUGAAUGUUGUGCUAUGCAAGACAGUAGCACCAAAACCAAACCAAAGUGUUGUGUGAAACGUUUUUAUUAUAGUUCAACAUUAACGGAGGGAGAAAGAGUAAGAUCAAGAAGAAGGUAGCAAAGCCGAAGGAAAAUAGAACGUACUCGGUUUGAUUUAUUUCGUGCGAUUUUUUGUGUUUCCGUGUUUUUUCUUGUAUUUUUAUAAGUUCUUAGAGUGUGAGCCUAUUUAUAAAUGCGGGACUUUCCCAAAAUCUUAUAUAUUUUACCAUUUUAUAUUUAUUACAUUAUUCGUUUUUUCACGCUCUCUUUCUCUCUCGGUCGUAAUCAAUCCAUUAUUCAAACCAAUAUUGAGCAUAAGCCGAUUCGAUAAACGAAACAAAAUGUCCAAAAAUACAGCAAAAGUAGUGGUGCGAGGUACAUUAAACGUGGGUUUUGGAACAUUCCCAGGCAAAAGAUGCAACGAAGAAAAGUAUUUUCGCAACUCAACCGAUGCUAUGCUUUGUAUGGUUAUAAAGUUGGUUGACUGCAUUUGCCUAAACCAUACGCUUUAUCAUCGAUCACAUCCGUUCUUUAAACAAACAAUAUCUUUCCAUUAACUAUCAGUCCGAACUUUGGAAGCGAUUUUAAAGAACACAUCAGCAGCUCCGCAAUGUUGUGAACAUUUAGUAUCGCCUAGAGAAGAUCGAGGGUGGAGCCCAUAUGCCAUCGAAUCAUCAACCACAGCUGCAAAAACAAUCGAUUGAGUACACUGUUCGUAUGAGUUGUCAUGAGUUUUGGUAUUUGUGUCCUCUCUUGAAUCAAGUUAUCUUGUGUAAAUAGCUAUAAAUUAUAAAUAACUUAUUGUGAAACAAGCAAACGUAAUCUAUACAAAGCAAGGAGAUAGUAGCAAGCGAAAGCACAGGCACAGAAUUGCUAGCUACAAAAGAAGAAACACGAGAGAGCAGAUCAAUGCAAUGGGCGAUCUAAAAUUCGAAAAAAUUAACAACAAAAAUGGAAAGCAUUCAUAUAUAAUAGCAAAAGCAAAGCAACCGAUGCAAAAAGAACAUCACAUGAAUAUGAAAAGCAUACAUUAAAAAAAACAACAAAAAUAAAAAAUCUUAUAAUUUAA